CUCAUCGGGGGUUUCGUCCUGUGCCUGGUCGUCGGAAGUCUCUUCUUCAUGGCUUACGUCAUGAUCUCGGAGAGCGCGGCAGUUGGAGGCACGCGGAAGUGAUGAGUACGAGCUUCUCAUUUUCAACACAACCCUUGAAGAAAGCAAGACCACGUGAGCAUGUUAGCUCUCCAAGCAGCACAUCAUGGUUGAAUAUUUCGCCCCUACUCCAUCAAACAUCAACUUUGCGAUUUUCGUUAUGACUACACUUUGCCAUGCCCUGUGUUGUAUUGCUUGACCCUUGGCUACAAACAGUACUCCCUGCUGCUCCAAUGAAGUUUCAUGUCGCCAAGUGCAUAUUGUGAUCAGACCACGCAUCUCGAGACAUUCAUCCACAAAGAUGCUAGAGCAAGAACUCGGCAUUUUCACUUGUUCUCCGCUGAGAAGGACAUUGUUUAUUUGGGCAUUCAGGUACUUUGUACAAAAAUAAAGACACGACAUAUAUAAAAAGGUGUGAGAGACAGCUUUGGCUCUACUGUUUAUUCAAAAAAAUGUGUUUGAAAGCGCAGCAUAGCUGGUUGCUUGCAGAACACCAUAAAUUACUUUCUUUACAGGUAUGUACACAUCAUAAACUAUAUCUGAAACUCACAACAUACACAAGCGAGGAAAAUUAGCGUAUAUAAAUUAGAAGCUUGCUUGGGAGAUGCAGGGAAGCGAAAGGAAAAACAAAA